CCUGGUCUGGUGGCUGGCAACCCUGCACAUAGCAGGGGGUUGGAACUAAGUGAGCAUUGUUGUCCUUUUCAACCCAUAUUCUAUGAAUUUGUUGACUUGAUGGUGGGAUGCCUGUACUGUGCUGGGGAAGGGCACUUGUGUCUCUUUGGCUGCAUGUAGCUAUCUCAUCUAGCUGGCUUGUGUGAAGUUUGAUUCCAAGCAGUGUGUGAGCCCCAUACUGAAUAUGCACUCAUUUUCUGCUCUACCAAUUCUGUGUAAGUUCUGAGGAGCUGGUGUGUCACAGUGAUGCAGUGAUGCGUCGCAGUUGUUGAACACAUCCACAUUCAUUGACUUCCCAUGUCACAUUCUUCACUUUCUGCAUUAGUUGUUGUGAUUAGAUUCAAUUUAUUUCCUUCUUGCCCCUAUUUCAGAGGUUCGAAGUACAGCAGUUUUGCAUUGACAAGAAACAACCCACAAGAGUGGUGAAGCAGAGGAUUUUGACAUAGUCUGUGUAACAUGAGAGGCCCCAAAGAAGAUUGAUGGCAGUGGGAAGAAGAAAGGGUCUGCAGCUGAUGGAGGAAGGAAGAGGACAAGGAGGAAUGUAGCAGCCAAGACAAAAUGGAAGAGAUGAGGAAAAGGCUCUGGCUGAGAACAUUGAAAGCACAGCUGCUUUCCCACCUCUGAACACACCCAUAUUUGACAGACGAUGGGAAUCCACAUUUUUGAAGAGGCAUUUACAACCCGUUACUAAAGCAAAGGGCCACCAGGGGAAGUGGUCUUCACAAUAGAGGGAAUAUACUGUUAGAGCUGAGUGGAGCCAAGCAGCAGCUCACUCUUUACAAAGAGGGCCCAUGGCAUCUCCACCUGAACCCUUCAAAAGUUCACAGCUCAAGUGAAGGCAAAGUCCAUCCAUCCAGUCUGAUAGAAAGCUUUGCUGAGUUCCUUUGGAGGAGUAUGAGAUCCCUUACAUCUAAGCAAGCUGAAGAUCUGCCCAGGUCCAGGAUCAGAAUCUCUGCUACCAGUUUUCAAAAUGGCAAGACUGCAUUCUUAUCUCAUACUCACAUUUUUGUUGCAAAUUUUGCUGACUUCAAAUUAUAUGUAAAAUAUCCCCUUCCCAAGUGGAAAUAAAUACAUAUGUAAAUGAACAAAAGAACUUCCUACAGCCUUCAGAUUUCCAUCUCUCACAACAAAUUUAUUGUUUUUUUUUUUUUUUUAAUAAUAUGAAACUCACCCAUUGGUUUCCAGCAGCAAAAAGGCCUUCACUUCAGCAUCUCCUUUGGCCUAGAAAACUUCUCUAACUACUGGUGAUGUUAGGUUGCAAAUUAUGGAGCCUGAGGGCUUGCUAACAGUUUAUAUGCCAUCCCCUGCACAAGUGCUUACCAAAAAGACAGUUCUUAUUAGGAGGAACUGCACUGUACAAUUCAGCUAAGACUUACUGGGCAUACCCUUGUUACCUGAGUUUAGAAGCAGUUUAAUUUAAUGUAGCUUGAGGUUCAUGAUGUUUCUCACUGGAACUCACUGCAGGCACACAUGAGAAAACAUGCCCUUUACUUGUUUGCAUUUUAAAAAAGUGUAUAUUCAAAAUUUAAAUGAAAAAAAAAAUCUUUUCAUCUGCUCAGUUUGAGUUUCCACAUUUUCUCUCCCUUUAACAUUUCACCCUGAAACUGCAGUAUUGGAUUCUGAAAGCAUUCCUUAGAUUGUGUUAGUGUGACACCUAUUUGACAAUGUAAAACUGUAUUUUGCUGCGAAUAUUUGCCUUGUCUCAAAAUCUACAGUACUUGCUGGGAAGAUUUCCAGUGUCUUGGGGAGUCUUUCCUGCAAACCUUGUGCAAAACCUGAAGUAUUUUGCUGAAUGAGCUGAAUAUAUUUUGAUUGCCAUCAAGUUGUUCUAAAGCUCACUAAUUCUAUAUUGUUCAGGCUGUACUUUAUUUUAUGCAAUACCAACAUAAAUUGUACUUUUUUCCAUUUGAAAUAAAUUAAUUAGGGA
ensembl:lncRNA